UUUCUUUUUCUCAUUUUAGCUUCUUCCAAGGGAACGCAGGAAGCAAGAAUAUCUUGAUGCUGUUAAAGAUAGGUACAAGCAUCUUCCUGAGGUGAAGCGCAUCGUAAGGCAUAGGCAUUUGCCGAAGCCAAUAUACAAGGCAGCUGCUCUGAGGAGGACCAUGAUUGAAGCUGAGAGGAGGAAAGAUCAGAGGAGAAGGGCACAUAGCGCGCCUGGAAGUAUGCCCCUGGUACCCUUCAGGAAGAGGAGGAUCAUCAGAGAAGAAGAAUGAUAUGCUCUUAUUGCCUAAUUUAAAAAAAAUAUAUAUUAAAAGGGGGUUUUUUUGUUAUAAUUACAGUUUAAUUAAAGUUUUCAAUUUUUAGAGCUCUGAAAUGAAGCCAAACCUAUUGUUUAUAUUGUUAUAAAUUAAUCUUUUUUUUUGAAUUAAU